UGGUAUGUAGAUUAGUAAAUGUUUACAUUAAGUGUGUAGAAUGGAGUUGAGCACAUGCUUGACAAACUGUUGAUUUGCUGAUGGUGUGGCGAGGCGAAUCAGACGUAUUCAGAUUUAGAUGAUCACUAAACCUAUAAGCCAUAACGAAAUGGCAGAUGCGGAAUGGACGGGCUUUGGCCUUCAGGAGGGAUAAACCCGCUCCAAGGAAACGGAAGUGACGUGACCUCUGUCAGAAGUAGUUACCCCCAGAGCCCAGCCUCCUCCCUGUGGUCUGCCAGGAGCCCCCAGAGCCCAGCCUCCUCCCAAGCAGUCUCUGGGUGCUGUCCAUGUACGGCAGGGAUAUCCUCUCCCACAUGGACCAUAUCAAGGCCUUGGACUCAACCAAAAAGGUCAAAUAUAACGCGACUGUGUAUUUGAUUUCCAUGUUUGUUAAACUCUCUUAUAAACAAUAACAUUAAAAACUAGUUUUUAAUUAAAUGUGUUCGGUUGUAAAUCUGGAAAUAUU